rnacentral:rRNA from 1 species
AUUGAACGCUGGCGGCAGGCCUAACACAUGCAAGUCGAACGGUAACAGGAAACAGCUUGCUGUUUCGCUGACGAGUGGCGGACGGGUGAGUAAUGUCUGGGAAACUGCCUGAUGGAGGGGGAUAACUACUGGAAACGGUAGCUAAUACCGCAUAACGUCGCAAGACCAAAGAGGGGGACCCUCGGGCCUCUUGCCAUCGGAUGUGCCCAGAUGGGAUUAGCUUGUUGGUGGGGUAACGGCUCACCAAGGCGACGAUCCCUAGCUGGUCUGAGAGGAUGACCAGCCACACUGGAACUGAGACACGGUCCAGACUCCUACGGGAGGCAGCAGUGGGGAAUAUUGCACAAUGGGCGCAAGCCUGAUGCAGCCAUGCCGCGUGUAUGAAGAAGGCCUUCGGGUUGCAAAGUACUUUCAGCGGGGAGGAAGGGAGUAAAGUUAAUACCUUGGCUCAUUGACGUUACCCGCAGAAGAAGCACCGGCUAACUCCGUG